rnacentral:rRNA from 1 species
GACGAACGCUGGCGGCGUGCCUAAUACAUGCAAGUCGAACGAAGCUUUUUUAACUGGUGCUUGCACCGACUUAAACAACUGAGUGGCGAACGGGUGAGUAACACGUGGGUAACCUGCCCCAAAGCGGGGGAUAACAUUUGGAAACAGAUGCUAAUACCGCAUAACCACAGAAACCACAUGGUUUCUGUGUCAAAGAUGGUUUCGGCUAUCACUUUGGGAUGGACCCGCGGCGUAUUAGCUAGUUGGUAAGGUAAUGGCUUACCAAGGCAAUGAUACGUAGCCGAACUGAGAGGUUGAGCGGCCACAUUGGGACGGAGACACGGCCCAAACUCCUACGGGAGGCAGCAGUAGGGAAUCUUCCACAAUGGACGAAAGUCUGAUGGAGCAACGCCGCGUGAGUGAAGAAGGUUUUCGGAUCGUAAAACUCUGUUGUCAGAGAAGAACGUGUGCGAGAGUAACUGUUCGUGCAGUGACGGUAUCUGACCAGAAAGCCACGGCUAACUACGUGCCAGCAGCCGCCGUAA